AGCAAGGAAGACUUCUGAGAAGUUGAAACAAGAACUGAGUGAGAAGGAAACAGAAAGGAUACGCAUUAAUGCCAAAGCCGAAGAGCUACAAAAGUGGCUGGACCAGUGCCAAGAAGAAAAAUAUGUAGUUGAAGGCAGACGCAGCUCCCUAGAGUCUGCCUUAAAGUUAGAAGUCAUUGCUUUCAAGGAAGAGAAUGUGACUCUAUGUGAAAAGGUGACCAGUUUGGAAACGAAACUUGAAAACACAGAGAAACAAAGAAAAGGCUUGGUGGUAAGGAUACCAGACAUUUUGUAGGCUCAGCUACUUUUGAUAAAUUGUUGAAAACAUUGUUUUUUCUAAGGGAGUUACUGGUUAUUCUUUUGGAUGAUGUGAUUUUAUAAUGGGAUAGAUGGCAUAUAAAUACUUUUUUCGUGUUAUUUAUUGUGCCUGUCUUUUUCUUCAUAGUUUUUUUUAAAACUUUUGCAAAAGCACAUACUUUCUAAUAGGUGUAAGUAUAAUCUUUACUGUCAUUGUACUUAAAUACAACGAAAUUGGUUUUAAUCUCACUGGU